CCCUUAGACGUUCUGGGCCGCACGCGCGCUACACUGACGGAGCCAACGAGUAUUAACCUUGGCCGAGAGGUCUGGGAAAUCUUGUGAAACUCCGUCGUGCUGGGGAUAGAGCAUUGUAAUUUUUGCUCUUCAACGAGGAAUGCCUAGUAAGCGCAAGUCAUCAGCUUGCGUUGAUUACGUCCCUGCCCUUUGUACACACCGCCCGUCGCUCCUACCGAUUGAAUGGUCCGGUGAAGCGUUCGGACCGUGGCCUUUGGACGGUUCGCCGUCUGUUGGCUGCGGGAAGUUCGUUAAACCUUNUNAUUUAGNGGAAGGAGAANUCGUANCA
rnacentral:rRNA from 1 species